rnacentral:SRP_RNA from 1 species
GCCAGAUUUAGUGGUGUACAUGUAGUCCCAACUACUUGGGAGGCUGAGGCAGGAGGAUUGCUUGAGCUCAGGAGUUUGAGGCUGCAGUGGGCAAUGAUCGUGCCACUGCACUCCAGCCUGGGCAACAGAGCGAGAACCUGUCUCUU